rnacentral:lncRNA from 1 species
AAGUUGACAUUUUUUACACGUUGUAAUAUAAAUUGAUGGUGCUUUUUUCAUUAGUUUCAAUCAUAUGUCAUUGCAAUGUCAUUAUUGUGUAUCUUAGUUGAUAAAUGUUAUUUAUUUUGUAUGAAUGAAAGGUAGUGAAAACCUUAUCCAGUUAUCUCCCUUAGUUGUGUUACAUGUAUGGGAGAAAAUAAGAAUUAUGUCUCUUAAGAAUUAUAUAUGAGCUGCAUCGGAAAGAAAUCAACUUUAUGCAAGUGUACGUAUACAUGUGCAUUUAUAAGACUUUAAUUGAUUUUGCAACAUUCAUAUACAAAAUAAUAAGAUGAAUUUUGUUCUGUGUUGUAAGGAUUUUAAAGCAACGUAAUUAUUCAUCAAUUACAGACUUUUCUUAGAAUUUUUUCAAACCACAAAUUAUUUAACAGAUUCUUGUAAUCCUUGCAUGAGGUUGACUUUUAUCCAACACAGCUCUUAUGUUAUUACCUUCCUCGUAUCUCACUUGACAGCUGAAAAAAAUGAUCAUUUUAUAGUCAGCUAGUUGUCAAUCUUGAUCAGACAUUUGAUUUUUUUUCUUUUAUAUGAACUGUUCAAAAAUUGAUCCGUGUAUGGGAAAUGUGAAGUACUCAUGUUGGUAUUUGUAUUUUCCUUAGAAUUAUGUAAAAGAUAAAUAUUAAAAUAAUGAUUUCAUUUGAAAAGUUGUUUGAGUCUAACAAAAGUGUGUCCCAUGCCCUCAUGUGUUUAAUAUUGGAACAGCCUUAACUGGUCUUAAGUGUCAAAGGGAGGUAAUUUGAUGAAAUAUAGAGCACUGACAUAUGAUAGUCAUCGUUCCCAUUUUAUACACUAAUAUGUUUCCUGAAAUAAUUUAAAUGAAUCAUGUGCAGAUCUGAAUGUAUUGAUGUUUUGUUCUCAUAUACAAUUAAUGUUUACUGCAUUACAGAUGCUCUGAUAAUUUAAAUUGUAUAAAUUAUCCUAGUGAAAAAAUUAGAUUUUUUUAAAAAGUUUUUAACCCUUCAUCAGCAGAUUCUUUUUCUUCAAAAUCCAACUUUAUUGUUCAUGAAAGUACCUACAUGACAAGUAUGUUUUCUUAUUCCUUUGCAAAAUAUAUGUGUUUUUUUUUUAUCCCUUUGUAUUUUUAUAAAAAUCCAUAAAACCGAAGCUUUGCAUAUAAGAAUAGAAAGUAGCAACUGUACAGAAAGGCUUUUCCAGUUAGAGGUUAGAGGGCAUGUUGGGAAAUUAUAAAUCCCAAGCAUGUUGACUUUUAUAUUGUAAGAAAUGAAUGUAUACAUGUUAUAUAAAUAUUUCAUAUACUUGUUUUUGAUAAAGUGCCAUGGAAUUGUGUAAAAAAAAAUAACGUUAACUUAAAAAAAACAUAUAGAAUGUAAUCAGUUUUGUGUUGUGAAUCUUGUGAUUGUACACUUAUGUAUUGCUACAUUGACUUGUCUUUACAGGGUCAAGAAAAUGUCAUAUUUAUAAACAUAAAUACUGUUAAACUAAAUAUACCC